rnacentral:rRNA from 1 species
AGAGUUUGAUCAUGGCUCAGAAUGAACGCUGGCGGCGUGCUUAACACAUGCAAGUCGCACGAGAACGCUUCAGCUUGCUGAAGUUAGUAAAGUGGCGCACGGGUGAGUAACGCGUGGGUAAUCUCCCCCCGAAUUGGGGAUAACAUUGCGAAAGCGAUGCUAAUACCGGAUAAUAUCUUAAAUACCCCGGUGUUUAAGAUCAAAGGUGGCCUCUACAUGUAAGCUACUGUUUGGGGAUGAGCCCGCGUACCAUUAGCUUGUUGGUAGGGUAACGGCCUACCAAGGCUGCGAUGGUUAGCUGGUCUGAGAGGAUGAUCAGCCACACUGGAACUGACACACGGUCCAGACUCCUACGGGAGGCAGCAGUGAGGAAUUUUGCGCAAUGGGCGAAAGCCUGACGCAGCGACGCCGCGUGGAGGAUGAAGGUCUUCGGAUUGUAAACUCCUUUUGUCGGGGAAGAUAAUGACGGUACCCGAUGAAUAAGCCACGGCUAACUCUGUGCCAGCAGCCGCGGUAAGACAGAGGUGGCAAGCGUUGUUCGGAAUUACUGGGCUUAAAGGGCGCGUAGGCGGUGGAGUAAGUCUGAGGUGGAAGAUUAGGGCCUAACCCUAAAAUUGCCUUGGAAACUGCAUCACUUGAGUCAGCGAGGGGAUGGCGGAAUUCCAGGUGUAGCGGUGAAAUGCGUAGAUAUCUGGAGGAAGGCCGGUGGCGAAGGC